CCUACGAGCGGCUGCAGUGGGGAAUAUUGGACAAUGGGCGAAAGCCUGAUCCAGCCAUGCCGCGUGUGUGAAGAAGGCCUUCGGGUUGUAAAGCACUUUCAGUGGGGAAGAAAGCCUUGGGGCUAAUACCCUCGAGGAAGGACAUCACCCACAGAAGAAGCACCGGCUAACUCCGUGCCAGCAGCCGCGGUAAUACGGAGGGUGCGAGCGUUAAUCGGAAUUACUGGGCGUAAAGCGCGCGUAGGCGGUCUGAUAAGCCGGUUGUGAAAGCCCCGGGCUCAACCUGGGAACGGCAUCCGGAACUGUCAGGCUAGAGUGCAGGAGAGGAAGGUAGAAUUCCCGGUGUAGCGGUGAAAUGCGUAGAGAUCGGGAGGAAUACCAGUGGCGAAGGCGGCCUUCUGGACUGACACUGACGCUGAGGUGCGAAAGCGUGGGUAGCAAACAGGAUUAGAUACCCUGGUAGUC
rnacentral:rRNA from 1 species